GACGAACGCUGGCGGCGUGCCUAAUACAUGCAAGUAGAACGCUGAAGGAGGAGCUUGCUUCUCCGGAUGAGUUGCGAACGGGUGAGUAACGCGUAGGUAACCUGCCUGGUAGCGGGGGAUAACUAUUGGAAACGAUAGCUAAUACCGCAUAACAGUAGAUGUUGCAUGACAUUUGCUUAAAAGGUGCAAUUGCAUCACUACCAGAUGGACCUGCGUUGUAUUAGCUAGUUGGUGAGGUAACGGCUCACCAAGGCGACGAUACAUAGCCGACCUGAGAGGGUGGUCGGCCACACUGGGACUGAGACACGGCCCAGACUCCUACGGGAGGCAGCAGUAGGGAAUCUUCGGCAAUAGACGGAAGUCUGACCGAGCAACGCCGCGUGAGUGAAGAAGGUUUUCGGAUCGUAAAGCUCUGUUGUAAGAGAAGAACGAGUGUGAGAGUGGAAAGUUCACACUGUGACGGUAUCUUACCAGAAAGGGACGGCUAACUACGUG
rnacentral:rRNA from 1 species